GUAUGUACUCAAAGGUUGAAGCAAAGAGAAGAAAAACUGAAUACAAUAGUGACUUUACGUGAGGUAAAUCGGUUACUGUGCAAAAAAUCGGGUUUUCCCGUCAUUUUAGAGCAUUUCCGGCCGAUUUCUAUAUUCGUAAGUGCAAAUCGCUGUGAUUUUCCAAAAUAUGCAACUUUCACAGUGGAUUUAGGAAAAACACGCAAUUUUCACCAUCAUUUUGAGAGAAAUAAGCAGUUCCUAUGCUAGCAUAUGUUGCCCUCUCAUUUUUAAACCUGGAUUUCAGAGCCUUCCCAUUUUUGUGAAGGGAGAUUUUUCGAGGGAACUUCCUGACAAGGUGUAUGGAAAACAGAAACUUCAAAUCAUUUCGAAUUUUAAAAAGGGAAAAUGUUGGGGGUUGAGCUGAGAGAGCGCUACAAUGGGCUCCUCCUAGAUGGAAAUGUGAGGGAAGCCUGGUUAAAUCUUGGAUAAUUGAUACUCAAAACGAAAUCUGGGGGGGUCAUUUGCCAGCUGAUUUCUGGUAAGAUGGGCAAGAGUGAUGAUUAGAUGUUAGAGAUUAUUGUAAAAGCAAUUUCUAUGAACAUUUACAAAUAUUAAAGAUUGAUACUUACUUUUGUAAGUACACUUUUGAGUUUUUGUCAACGGGUCCUUGAUUAUGUAAAAUUGGACUUCCUCCUAAAGAUGACAAAACUUUUGUCCAGCUGGGAACCUAAAACACAACAACAAAAAAACAGCAAUGAAAUUUAAAUUUGAGUGAGGAAUAUACUUUUUUGAUUUGUAGACAAUGGUCAAUGUAAUUACAUUUAGGCCACAACUACUUACUUGUUUCCUCAAGAAUAUUUCUCACAACCUUGAAUAAGAUGAGAAGCGCAAGAGGUUAAAUUCAUCCAAUAUGAGAGUUGUCGUUGAUGAUUAGUCGCAAUCUAAGCCUCAAUUCUUCACUCCACGAAAAGAUCAGAAGAUGCGUUAAACCAAAAUUAUAAAAAGCAGAAAUCUUUUUUAUUAUUAUUAUUUUUUUACUCUUAGUUAAAAAAAAUUAUUGGAAAAUUUUCUCGCACAAGGUGCAAAUCGAAACUCAGACGUUUGUGUAUUUUCUGUACCAAUGUUUAUGUAUAGAACUAGAGAAUGA